rnacentral:rRNA from 1 species
AGAAUGAACGCUGGCGGCAGGCCUAACACAUGCAAGUCGAGCGCCUCGCAAGAGGAGCGGCGGACGGGUGAGUAACGCGUGGGAACAUACCCCUUUCUACGGAAUAGCCUCGGGAAACUGAGAGUAAUACCGUAUACGCCCUAAUGGGGAAAGAUUUAUCGGUGAGGGAUUGGCCCGCGUUGGAUUAGGUAGUUGGUGGGGUAAUGGCCUACCAAGCCGACGAUCCAUAGCUGGUUUGAGAGGAUGAUCAGCCACACUGGGACUGAGACACGGCCCAGACUCCUACGGGAGGCAGCAGUGGGGAAUCUUAGACAAUGGGCGCAAGCCUGAUCUAGCCAUGCCGCGUGAUCGAUGAAGGCCUUAGGGUUGUAAAGAUUCUUUCGUGGGGAAGAUAAUGACGGUACCCAAGAAGAGCCCGGCUAACUCCGUGCCAGCAGCCGC